rnacentral:rRNA from 1 species
GACGAACGCUGGCGGCGUGCCUAAUACAUGCAAGUCGAGCGGACCUCUUCGGAGGUCAGCGGCGGACGGGUGAGUAACACGUGGGCAACCUGCCUGUAAGACUGGGAUAACACCGGGAAACCGGUGCUAAUACCGGAUAAUCCUUUUCCUCACAUGAGGGGAAGCUGAAAGACGGUUUCGGCUGUCACUUACAGAUGGGCCCGCGGCGCAUUAGCUAGUUGGUGGGGUAACGGCCCACCAAGGCGACGAUGCGUAGCCGACCUGAGAGGGUGAUCGGCCACACUGGGACUGAGACACGGCCCAGACUCCUACGGGAGGCAGCAGUAGGGAAUCUUCCGCAAUGGACGAAAGUCUGACGGAGCAACGCCGCGUGAGCGAAGAAGGCCUUCGGGUCGUAAAGCUCUGUUGUCAGGGAAGAACACGUACCGGAGUAACUGCCGGUACCUUGACGGUACCUGACCAGAAAGCCACGGCUAACUACGUGCCAGCCGCCGCGGUAAUAC